UGCAUAUCAAUAAGCGGAGGAAAAGAAACUAACAAGGAUUCCCCUAGUAACGGCGAGUGAAGCGGGAAGAGCUCAAAUUUGUAAUCUGGCACUUUCAGUGUCCGAGUUGUAAUCUCGAGAAGUAUUUUCCGCGCCGGACCGCAUACAAGUCUGUUGGAAUACAGCGUCAUAGUGGUGAGAACCCCGUAACUGAUGCGGAUGCCCGGUGCUUUGUGAUAUACUUUCGAAGAGUCGAGUUGUUUGGGAAUGCAGCUCAAAUUGGGUGGUAAAUUCCAUCUAAAGCUAAAUAUUGGAGCAAGACCGAUAGCGAACAAGUACCGUGAGGGAAAGAUGAAAAGCACUUUGGAAAGAGAGUUAACAGUACGUGAAAUUGUUGGAAGGGAAACGCUUGAAGUCAGACUUGCUAUUCGGAGUUCAGCCGCAAGGUGUAUUCUUCGAUUUGCAGGCCAGCAUCAGUUUUUGGGGGUGGAAAAUCGUGGUUUGAAGGUAGCAGUUUCGGCUGUGUUAUAGCUUUCCACUGGAUUCAUCUUCGGGGACUGAGGAACGCAGUACGCUUUUUGCAAGGCUCUCGAGCUUUUCGUACUUAGGAUGCUGGUGGAAUGGCUUUAAACGACCCGUCUUGAACACCCGG
rnacentral:rRNA from 1 species